UGGUAAUUCUAGAGCUAAUACAUGCUAAAAACCCCAACUUCGGGAGGGGUGUAUUUAUUAGAUAAAAAACCAAUGCCCUUCGGGGCUCUCUGGUGAUUCAUAAUAACUUCUCAGAUCGCAUGGCCUUGCGCCGGCGACGGUUCAUUCAAAUUUCUGCCCUAUCAACUUUCGAUGGUAAGGUAUUGGCUUACCAUGGUUUCAACGGGUAACGGGGAAUUAGGGUUCGAUUCCGGAGAGGGAGCCUGAGAAACGGCUACCACAUCCAAGGAAGGCAGCAGGCGCGCAAAUUACCCAAUCCCAAUACGGGGAGGUAGUGACAAUAAAUACUGAUACAGGGCUCUUUAGGGUCUUGUAAUUGGAAUGAGUACAAUUUAAACCUCUUAACGAGGAACAAUUGGAGGGCAAGUCUGGUGCCAGCAGCCGCGGUAAUUCCAGCUCCAAUAGCGUAUAUUAAAGUUGUUGCAGUUAAAAAGCUCGUAGUUGAACCUUUGGCCUGGCUGGCGGGUCCGCCUCACCGCGUGCACUCGUCCGGCCGGGCCUUUUCUUCUGGAGAACCGCAUGCCCUUCACUGGGUGUGUUGGGGACCAG
rnacentral:rRNA from 1 species